rnacentral:rRNA from 1 species
AUGAAGGAGUACUGGACGAUGCUGGCGUCGCUCAUGGGCGCGCUGGCGUUCCUGCAAGGGGUGCUGCACGCCGUGUUCCCCGCGGAGCUGCGGGCGGCGCUGGCGCGGCUGCUCGGGCGCCUCACCCGAGCCUUCUCGCCCUACUGCUACUUCGACGUCACGGAGACGGACGGGAUGAGCAACAACGAGAUCUACGACGCCGUGCAGCUCUACCUCAGCAGCACGGCCGCGCCGGCGUCGGGGGCCCGGCUCAGCCUCACGCGCCCGCACAACGCCACCUCCUUCACCUUCGGGCUCGCCGCCAGCGACCGCGUCGUCGACGCCUUCCGCGGCGCGGCCGUCACGUGGGAGCACGUGGUGGCGCCGCGCCAGUCCCCCGGCUUCUCCUGGCGCCCGCUCCCCGAGGAGAAGCGCCGGUUCACGCUCCGGAUCCGUCGCGGCGACAGGGAGAAGCUGCUACCGGCCUACCUCGACCACAUCCUCGCCACGGCGCAGGAGAUCCGCCGCCGGAGCCAGGACAGGCUGCUCUACACCAACGCGCGCGGCGGGGCCAUGGACUCGCGCGGCCUCCCCUGGGACCCCGUCCCCUUCAAGCACCCCAGCACGUUCGACACCCUCGCCAUGGACCCCGACCGCAAGGCGUCCAUCAUGGCCGACCUCCGCGACUUCGCCGCCGGCAGCUCGUUCUACGAGCGCACGGGCCGCGCCUGGAAGCGCGGCUACCUCCUUUACGGCCCGCCGGGGACAGGCAAGUCCAGCAUGAUCGCGGCCAUGGCCAACUUCCUCGGGUACGACGUGUACGACCUCGAGCUCACCGAGGUGAGCAGCAAUGCCGAGCUGCGGAAGCUGCUGAUGAAGACCACGUCCAAGUCCAUCAUCGUGAUCGAGGACAUCGACUGCUCCGUCGACCUCACCAACCGGGCGGCCCUGCCUCCGGCGCCGAAGCCGCGGCCAACCCUCGACGGCGCGAUCGACCAGGACGCGGGGGCGGCGUCGGGGCGGUCGAUCACGCUCUCCGGCCUCCUCAACUUCACCGACGGGCUGUGGUCGUGCUGCGGGUCGGAGCGCAUCUUUGUCUUCACCACUAACCACAUCGAGAAGCUGGACCCGGCGCUGCUCCGGUCCGGCCGGAUGGACAUGCACGUCUUCAUGAGCUACUGCACGUUCCCGGCGCUCAAGAUCCUCCUCAAGAACUACCUCUGCCUCCAGGACGACGGCGCCGAGGUGAUGCGUGGGCUGGAGGAAUGGAUCGAGGCGGCGGAGAUCACGCCGGCGGAUGUGAGCGAGGUGCUGAUCAAGAACCGGAGGAACGGGAAGGAGAGGGCGAUGGAGGAGCUGCUGGAGGUCCUGAAAACGCGCGCCGAGAAGCGGCGGCUCGACGGCGGGAAGGCGGCGGCGGCGGCGAAGGACAACGACGAAGAGGAAGAGAAGAGGGCCCUGGAGAGCCCCAAGGAAGGGAAAGGGCCGGCCGGCAAGGACAGCUGCGGGGACGGACAGGACGAGGAGACGGAUGCCAAGAAACAGCUGUGA